rnacentral:rRNA from 1 species
CGCGUAGGCGGGAUCGUGGGUCGGCCGUGAAAUCCACCGGCUCAACCGGUGAACUGCGGUCGAAACUACGAUUCUUGAGUUCGGUAGAGGAAUGCGGAAUUCCUGGUGUAGCGGUGGAAUGCGUAGAUAUCAGGAAGAACACCGGUAGCGAAGGCGGCAUUCUGGGCCGUAUCUGACGCUGAGGCGCGAAGGCCGGGGGAGCGAACA